UGCAAGUCGAACGAGAACUUCGGGUCUAGUGGCGCACGGGUGCGUAACGCGUGGGAAUCUGCCCUUGGGUCUGGAAUAACAGUUAGAAAUGACUGCUAAUACCGGAUGAUGACUUCGGUCCAAAGAUUUAUCGCCCAGGGAUGAGCCCGCGUCGGAUUAGCUAGUUGGUGGGGUAAAAGCUCACCAAGGCGACGAUCCGUAGCUGGUCUGAGAGGAUGAUCAGCCACACUGGGACUGAGACACGGCCCAGACUCCUACGGGAGGCAGCAGUGGGGAAUAUUGGACAAUGGGCGAAAGCCUGAUCCAGCAAUGCCGCGUGAGUGAUGAAGGCCUUAGGGUUGUAAAGCUCUUUUACCCGGGAUGAUAAUGACAGUACCGGGAGAAUAAGCCCCGGCUAACUCCGUGCCAGCAGCCGCGGUAAUACGGAGGGGGCUAGCGUUGUUCGGAAUUACUGGGCGUAAAGCGCAUGUAGGCGGCUUUGUAAGUUAGAGGUGAAAGCCCGGGGCUC
rnacentral:rRNA from 1 species